AAUAAGAUUGAAGAUUAAUUCUUAAGCUGA
rnacentral:piRNA from 1 species